rnacentral:rRNA from 1 species
UGAGAGUGGGUUAGUCCGCACGAGCGCACCCUAUCCUUAGUUGCCAGCACAUUAUGGUGGGGACUCUAAGGAGACUGCCUGGGAUAACCAGGAGGAAGGUGGGGAUGAUGUCAAGUCAGUAUGUCCCUUAUGUCCAGGGCUACACACGUGUUACAAUGGUUGGUACAGAGGGCAGCUAAGCCGCAAGGUGGAGCCAAUCCCCCAAAACCAACCCCAGUUCGGAUUGGAGUCUGCAACUCGACUCCAUGAAGCAGGAAUCGCUAGUAAUCGUGGAUCAGAACGCCACGGUGAAUACGUUCCCGGGUCUUGUACACACCGCCCGUCACGCCAUGGAAGUCAGUAGUACCCGAAUCGAGUGGCCCAACCUUAGGGAGGGAGCUCGUUAAGGUAAGACUGGUAACUGGGGCGAAGUCGUAACAAGGUAGCCAUACCGGAAGGUGCGGCUGGAUCACCUCCUUUU